rnacentral:rRNA from 1 species
GACGAACGCUGGCGGCGUGCUUAACACAUGCAAGUCGAACGGUGACCCAGGGCUUGCCCUGGUGAUCAGUGGCGAACGGGUGAGUAACACGUGGGCAACCUGCCCCCUGACUUCGGGAUAACUCCUCGAAAGAGGAGCUAGUACCGGAUACGACCACUUCGGACAUCCGAUGGUGGUGGAAAGUUUUUCGGUCAGGGAUGGGCCCGCGGCCUAUCAGCUAGUUGGUGGGGUAAUGGCCUACCAAGGCGACGACGGGUAGCCGGCCUGAGAGGGCGACCGGCCACACUGGGACUGAGACACGGCCCAGACUCCUACGGGAGGCAGCAGUGGGGAGUAUUGCGCAAUGGGCGAAAGCCUGACGCAGCGACGCCGCGUGAGGGAUGAAGGCCUCGGUUGUAAACCUCUUUCAGCAGGGACGAAGCGAAAGUGACGGUACCUGCAGAAGAAGCACCGGCUAACUACGUGCCAGCAGCCGCGGUAAU